rnacentral:rRNA from 1 species
GAGUUUGAUCGUGGCUCAGAGCGAACGCUGGCGGCAGGCCUAACACAUGCAAGUCGAACGGACCCUUCGGGGUUAGUGGCGGACGGGUGAGUAACACGUGGGAACGUGCCUUUAGGUUCGGAAUAGCUCCUGGAAACGGGUGGUAAUGCCGAAUGUGCCCUUCGGGGAAAGGAUUAUCGCCUUAGAGCGGCCCGCGUCUGAUUAGCUAGUUGGUGAGGUAACGGCUCACCAAGGCGACGAUCAGUAGCUGGUCUGAGAGGAUGACCAGCCACACUGGGACUGAGACACGGCCCA